UUGAAACUCAAAGGAAUUGACGGGGGCCCGCACAAGCGGUGGAGCAUGUGGUUUAAUUCGAAGCAACGCGAAGAACCUUACCAGGUCUUGACAUCCUUUGACCACUCUAGAGAUAGAGCUUUCCCUUCGGGGACAAAGUGACAGGUGGUGCAUGGUUGUCGUCAGCUCGUGUCGUGAGAUGUUGGGUUAAGUCCCGCAACGAGCGCAACCCUUAUUGUUAGUUGCCAUCAUUUAGUUGGGCACUCUAGCGAGACUGCCGGUGACAAACCGGAGGAAGGUGGGGAUGACGUCAAAUCAUCAUGCCCCUUAUGACCUGGGCUACACACGUGCUACAAUGGGAAGUACAACGAGUCGCUAGACCGCGAGGUCAUGCAAAUCUCUUAAAGCUUCUCUCAGUUCGGAUUGCAGGCUGCAACUCGCCUGCAUGAAGCCGGAAUCGCUAGUAAUCGCGGAUCAGCACGCCGCGGUGAAUACGUUCCCGGGCCUUGUACACACCGCCCGUCACACCACGAGAGUUUGUAACACCCGAAGUCGGUGAGGUAACCUUUUGGAGCCAGC
rnacentral:rRNA from 1 species